GGAAGACCCAGGGGCUCGUGGCGAGACUCGCCGGGGCCCCCGAGCCCCGGGACCACCGGCAUAUCCAGGUAGGAGCUCCAGCCUGCAGAGAGUGCCCAGUGCCCAAGGACCAGCCUGAGAAGCUUUUCCUGUGUGCCUGGGAGAUGCGGCCCUUUUCUGGUAUCACGGUGGGUGCUGGUACUAGAAGAGCCAGGCAGCAGCCCUACUUGCAGCUGCCAGGAUUUGAUGAGGGAUUCUGGGGGUCCUGCUGGUUUGGGGCCAAAUAGUUCCACCUCUUUUCGGCUGUGAGCUGGUCAGAUACCCAGACUGGGAAGAAGCAUUCAAAGUGAAAGUGGGCGCCUUCCGCAACGUUCAUGCUGGGAACACUGGACUCCCUUCCACUCAGGCUAAUUGGUGAGCAGCCAGCCUUGAACCUGCCCUCCGUCCCAGCUUGCAGUCUCAGCCCUGAACUCAGACGCUGCGCAUACCACCCCACUGUUCUGCUCUCUAAGCCCCUUGGGCUUCCUGCAGGAUACAAACGAAUGACUGGGCUCAGGCUUUUAUCUGCCCAGAUUCCAGAGUUUUCCCUGACCAAACCAGACCCGGAAAAACGAAAACACGGCUUGGGAAGCCCCCACCAACCGGCGCCUGUGCCAGCUCACCUCUGGCUGUGGCGAGGCUGCCGGUGCACAAGGGCCGCCAGGGCCAGCCCCUUGUUCUUCCCUCCCCUCCCACUUCACUGGAGCCGGGAGCCUUGCACACAGAGACUGCCAAAGUCGACUGGGUCCUUCCUCACCAAAAAUGGUGAGACAAGAUUUCAACUUGUCCGCUGAGGAGCCACAAGCAGGUAUGUCAGUGGCGUCUUGGCAUGCUUUCACUAGUCUGCAGGUCCUGCUACAUAUUGUGCUGUAGCCAUCAAUGGGUGGAAAUAUUUAUAUAAUUAGAAUGAGUUCUGUGAAUAAUUGUGGGUCUGAGUUUCUAGAGUUUCUA